AAUGCACGCCUACAUACUGGUUAUGGUUGAUCUGACGGAGGAGCCAAGGACCAAAUCGUUCUUUAUUGUGGCACCUGUGAGUUAAUGGAAAAACUUGUCUCUUCUGUGAAAUCGAAAGAAUCUGAAUUUGGCAAGAGACAUGGGCGGUUUCCAAGAGUAUGAGUAACCGGCAAUGAAUCCGCAGCCCUGUGGCUUUUUGCCCAAAUAAACAUUCCUUCUCACAGCCUCAGUGUGCCAGAAACUGUAGUACUUUCCAGUGGAUCGUCAGCAACAGAAAUGGGAACCCCAACAUUAGCAGCAUCUUCAGGGAGCUGGGUUAAGGACUGGUGGUCCCAGAUUAAAUCCCUUGAGGAAGCCUGAAACAGCGAAACAUGUAGGGAUGGGACAGUUGCUUGAUAAAGGAGUGCGGCAGCCUCACCACUCGCUGCCUGUCACUCAGAAACGCGUUGCAUACCCGGUGACGCCAUCAUCCCUCGCCUGCAGUCCACCUGCGCUCCAAGCCUCGUUUUGGAAGAUUCUCCACCGCGGCUGGCUUCCUCCAUCAGCGGUGACAGUGGAUCCAUACAAGCGCUCCAGCAGACCCUGGAUGACAGUGACGGCCGGAUGACACCUCUCCUCACUUCAGGAAUACUGACUUAUAUGCCUAUUUGUCACUUCGAAAAUGUGAGUGACCAUUACCUAAGUUUUUAAACCUUAUUAAAUUGUUUCAAACUAUUUCACCCAGAGGCGCCUCUUCCCUUGUUUUCCUCCUAGGGAUGGGACAUACUCCUGUGACCACCACUUUAUGAAAUUUGGGAAACC